AAUAGAUACCCAGGUAGUCCACGCCGUAAACGGUGGGCACUAGGUGUGGGCGACAUUCCACGUCGUCCGUGCCGCAGCUAACGCAUUAAGUGCCCCGCCUGGGGAGUACGGCCGCAAGGCUAAAACUCAAAGGAAUUGACGGGGGCCCGCACAAGCGGCGGAGCAUGUGGCUUAAUUCGACGCAACGCGAAGAACCUUACCAAGGCUUGACAUACACCGGAAACGUCCAGAGAUGGGCGCCCCCUUGUGGUCGGUGUACAGGUGGUGCAUGGCUGUCGUCAGCUCGUGUCGUGAGACGUUGGGUUAAGUCCCGCAACGAGCGCAACCCUUGUCCCGUGUUGCCAGCAGGCCCUUGUGGUGCUGGGGACUCACGGGAGACCGCCGGGGUCAACUCGGAGGAAGGUGGGGACGACGUCAAGUCAUCAUGCCCCUUAUGUCUUGGGCUGCACACGUGCUACAAUGGCCGGUACAAUGAGCUGCGAUACCGCGAGGUGGAGCGAAUCUCAAAAAAGCCGGUCUCAGUUCGGAUUGGGGU
rnacentral:rRNA from 1 species